ACGCAGAUGGGCUUCCUCCUCUCCCCGGAAAGCAUCCCCUGAGCUGGGUCGGCUGCACCUCUCUGGGCUGCUCCACCAACCCAGUUUGGACAUGUUCCGAUUCUCUGAAAUGGUCGGUCCAGGAAUGUUUUAAAGAAGUUUUGAUGCUCUACCACAGUCCACCGUUCGGACACGAAGGCCUGCCUUCCUCUCCUCGGCAUGCAGGCGCAUGCUGGACGCUGGGGAGACAGCAGUGACCAGACACUGCCCCUGUGCCCAGGGAGCUGUCUCCUGGAGGAGGUAGGCAAAAAGCAAGGUGGGACAGGAGCAGAGCUGUGAUGGAGGAGCAGCAGCUGUGUGAUAUGGGUAGGGCCCUCCCUUGAGUCAUCAUCUCUGGAGUAUGGACUUGUCACCAGUGUCAUAUCCUAUGUUUAUGGCUCUUUAAUUGGUCCCCAUCUUUGGCUGGGCUCACUGGGAAGUCACUGAGCUGACUUUGCACACAGGAAGUUAACUGGAACGCACCCACGGACAUCACCUCUGAGGGCAUGAGGGUGGCAAGCUGGGGUGGAGGGAGAUGCAGGCUGUGCUGCAGUCAUCAGGGCAAGGGGACGGGGGCUGGAGGCUGCCAUGUCAAGCAGGCACUGGAUGUGGAUGAAGGGGUCAUGGUCUCAGGCUGAAGGUGAGCCCUAGAGGGACCCCACACCCCACCGGAGCUGGAGGACCAGUCUGGAUCCCAAGAAGGGAGCUGGGGGAUGCACAGAGUGUCCACGAUGGUCCAGGUCCACUUCUCUUCGCCUUUACCACCCAGAACUAGCCCCCCACCUGUCACCUGGAGGCUGCCUUAGGCUCCUCACUGGUGUCUUAGCUUCCACUCUUGACCCUCCACCUGUAAUGCCCCAAGUCCAUCACCAGUGGGCUAAAGCCCGAGGGCUCCUCCAACACAUAAAUCAGAUUACUUUGUUCCACUGCUUAAAACUGUCUAAUGGCCCCCAAUAUACUCAGAAAAAAACCCAGCCCUUUAUCAGGGUCACAAGGCCCUGCACAAGUAAGCCCAGCUCCCCCUGUGGCCUCUUCCCCUUCCUUCAAGGUGCACCUGCCCACAGCCAUCUCUUUUCCUUGAGGCAGUGCUGUUCCACCUCAGGGCCUUUGCACUUGCUGUUCCCUCUGCCUAAUGCUCCCCUGCUCAGAUCUUCCCAUGAUUCCACACCCUUCAAGUCUCACCUGAAAUAUCCCCUCCUCGAAGGGGUCUUCCCCAACCACCCGACCUAAGAGAUUCCUACAUUCCAGUAUUGCCCUCAGAUAUUACCUUUCUUUUAAACUUUGUACCAUGUUAAACUGUCUUAUUACUUUGUUUACUUCCUGUGUCUUCCCACUAGAAUAAAUUUGAUGAGGGGAAGGAA